CCUACGGGAGGCAGCAGUGGGGAAUAUUGCACAAUGGGGGGAACCCUGAUGCAGCGACGCCGCGUGGGUGAAGAAGCGCCUCGGCGUGUAAAGCUCUGUCAGCAGGGAAGAAAAUGACGGUACCUGAAGAAGAAGCCCCGGCUAACUACGUGCCAGCAGCCGCGGUAAUACGUAGGGGGCAAGCGUUAUCCGGAUUUACUGGGUGUAAAGGGGGCGUAGACGGUGAUGCAAGCCAGGAGUGAAAGCCCGGGGCCCAACCCCGGGACUGCUCUUGGAACUGCGUGGCUGGAGUGCAGGAGGGGCAGGCGGAAUUCCUGGUGUAGCGGUGAAAUGCGUAGAUAUCAGGAGGAACACCGGUGGCGAAGGCGGCCUGCUGGACUGCGACUGACGUUGAGGCCCGAAAGCGUGGGGAGCAAACAGGAUUAGAUACCCGGGUAGUC
rnacentral:rRNA from 1 species